UACGUAGGUGGCAAGCGUUGUCCGGAAUUAUUGGGCGUAAAGCGCGCGCAGGCGGUCCUUUAAGUCUGAUGUGAAAGCCCACGGCCUCAACCGUGGAGGGUCAUUGGAAACUGGGGGACUUGAGUGCAGGAGAGAAGAGUGGAAUUCCACGUGUAGCGGUGAAAUGCGCAGAUAUCGGGAGGAACACCAGUGGCGAAGGCGACUCGCUGGACCGGUCCUGACGCUCAGGCGCGAAAGCGUGGGGAGCGAGUCCGG
rnacentral:rRNA from 1 species